rnacentral:rRNA from 1 species
UACGUAGGGCGCAAGCGUUAUCCGGAAUUAUUGGGCGUAAAGAGCGAGCAGGCGGUUUGGAAAGUUGGACGUGAAAUUUUAGGGCUUAACCCUAAAGGGUCGUCCAAAACUCCCAGACUAGAGUGCAGGAGAGGAAAGCGGAAUUCCCGGUGUAGUGGUGAAAUGCGUAGAUAUCGGGAGGAACACCAGAGGCGAAGGCGGCUUUCUGGCCUGUAACUGACGCUGAGGCGCGAAGGCUGGGGUAGCGAACAGG